GUACCCCCGUAGGUCGGAAGUGGCGGCAAUCCAUGGCAAUUGAAAGUGAAUUGCACCGCUUCCGGCCUGUGGGUGAAUC
rnacentral:pre_miRNA from 1 species